rnacentral:rRNA from 1 species
GAUGAACGCUGGCGGCGUGCCUAAUACAUGCAAGUCGAGCGAACAGACGAGGAGCUUGCUCCUCUGACGUUAGCGGCGGACGGGUGAGUAACACGUGGAUAACCUACCUAUAAGACUGGGAUAACUUCGGGAAACCGGAGCUAAUACCGGAUAAUAUAUUGAACCGCAUGGUUCAAUAGUGAAAGACGGUUUUGCUGUCACUUAUAGAUGGAUCCGCGCCGCAUUAGCUAGUUGGUAAGGUAACGGCUUACCAAGGCAACGAUGCGUAGCCGACCUGAGAGGGUGAUCGGCAACACUGGAACUGAGACACGGUCCAGACUCCUACGGGAGGCAGCAGUAGGGAAUCUUCCGCAAUGGGCGAAAGCCUGACGGAGCAACGCCGCGUGAGUGAUGAAGGUCUGCGGAUCGUAAAACGCUGUUAUUAGGGAAGAACAAAUGUGUAAGUAACUAUGCACGUCUUGACGGUACCUAAUCAGAAAGCCACGGCUAACUACGU